GCGGGUGAAUGAACUGGUUUCGAAGCACGGUAGCCAUCCUCCCUUUCCCAUACUCCGUGCCGCGGACGCCAACUUUGCUAAUCCUGCCUUCCAAGCAGGCGGCUGUGGGUUCGAUUCCCAUCGCCCGCG
rnacentral:tRNA from 1 species